rnacentral:rRNA from 1 species
GACGAACCGAGCGAACGUUGUUCGGAAUCACUGGGCGUAAAGCGCACGUAGGCGGCUUUCUAAGUCAGGGGUGAAAUCCUGGAGCUCAACUCCAGAACUGCCUUUGAUACUGGGAAGCUUGAGUCCGGAAGAGGUGAGUGGAACUCCGAGUGUAGAGGUGAAAUUCGUAGAUAUUCGGAAGAACACCAGUGGCGAAGGCGAG